rfam:Thermoplasmatales archaeon E-plasma genomic scaffold AMDT2_EPLS00003, whole genome shotgun sequence.
GGAUAGGUGGCAGAGAGGUGAUGCGUGAGACUGCAGAUCUCAUUUAUUAGGGUUCGAAUCCCUACCUAUCCU